rnacentral:tRNA from 1 species
GGGAAUGUGGCUUAGUGUUGGAGUGCUUGCCUAGUACGCAUGAAGCCCUGGGUUCAAUUCCUCAGUCCCA